CCUCCAGUUUACAAGUACAAGUCCCCACCACCUCCAGUUUACAAGUACAAGUCCCCACCACCUCCAGUUUACAAGUACAAGUCUCCUCCACCUCCUCACCACGACUAAGAAAGGGAAGGAGAAUAUUUCCAGAAUAAAGAAGAAAUGGAUGUGCUGAAAAUGAUUUUUGAGGACGAAUGAAAGCGAUGGAAGAAGAAUAGAAUAAGCUAUAUAUACUGCAGAAGAAGUUGUCAUAAUUUUCUUCAGUUUGUUUAUUUUAUUAAGAUUAGCGUCCCUAUGUUUUACGUAGCAAGCCAUGCAUGGUUGUAUGCAGAGUGUUUCAUGAUUUAUAUAAUAAAUAAGUGAAUGUUCAUGUUCUUGUUUAAUGGAA